rnacentral:rRNA from 1 species
GCGCGAAAACUUUACAAUGCGGGAAACCGUGAUAAGGGAAUCUCGAGUGCCAGCAUAUAAUGUUGGCUGUCUAGAUGCCUACAAAGCAUCUGUUGGCAAGGGCCGGGUAAGACCGGUGCCAGUCGACGCGGUAACACCGGCGGACCGAGCGGUAACCGGUUUUAUUGGGUCUAAAGGGUCUGUAGCUGGCCAAGUAAGUCCCUUGGGAAAUAUGGCAGCUUAACUGUCAUGCUGCUAGUGGAUACUGCUAGACUUAGGACCGGGAGAGAUGAGAGGUACCUUGGGAGUAGACGUGAAAUCUUGUAAUCCUCGCGAAACCACCAUUGACAAAGACGUCUCACCA